UUCACACAAAAGUCCUCAUCAAAAAUGUUUUUUUUUAUUAUGUUUUUCUUAAGAUUUUUUUUUCUAAUAUUUCCCCUUCUGUUCAAAAUAGAAAAGGAAAAUGAGAAUGUGGCAGAGAAAUGUACGCCGAAAGGCAAGUUCAGAGCGAUUACCUCUGCGUAUGAUAUUAUUGCAUGUGCUCGAAAUUGCCGAGCCAUGAGGACAGUUCACGCUGCGAUCGACUCACCCACUCCACAUUAGUUGCCACACUUCGUAGAGUCAUGUUGAGAACCCGCAUCCCAGGACCAUAGCCGAAUCUCUCAACGAGAGAUUUUAACUGUGUGCAGAAGAAAAGAAUUUUCAUUGUAGUAAAAGGAAAAAUUUCUUUGAGAGAAAUUUCCAGUGACUCACCUCUUCAUAGUCGAAUUUUGUGGCACCAAAUUGUGUGAUUGCGGUGAUAACCUGGGCAAAUUGUUCACUGCCGGCACCCAGUUUUGCCUGCAAAUCAUUCCACUUGGCCUGCAAGAAACGACACGCCAUGGCGCCUCCAGUUGGAGUACCGGCGAUUGCUUCGAGGACCUGAAUCAAUUCGGGAGCUGGAAGAGUGAUCACCUGAGACAGAAGACGAUUCUGGAGCCUAAAAUUUAAUUAAAAAAGAAAACAAAAGGAAAUAUUAUAAUUAAAGAUUUAAUCAAUUGAGACAAUGAUUGAAAAUUAAACAGACUGUGGUAAUUGAACUGAGAAAAUCCGCAAUAUCGUUUGGUUAAAAAAUAAUUUAUCUGGAAAAGUUUUUGAUUUUCCAUCUCAGUUGCAAUAAAGUUUAAUUUUCAAAAUAAUUUUUAGGAUUAAUAUCGAUUUUUAUAUUUAUUUUUGAAUAUCUGUAAUACUAACGGGUCAUGAAAAAUCCCUCAAAUUAUAAUUACUCUUCUGGUCAAAAACUAUCUUUUAAUGACUUCCUUUGCAAAUUACUUUUUUUUUGCGACCCCAUCAGCCCGUUACCUGAAAUAAACCUGGCGGGACCUUGCUUUUAUAAAGAAGCAGAGUCACCAAAAUCAGUAGUAUUGCAACAGUCUCAAAGCAAAGACGUCCGAUAUUAUCCGUCAAAUACUCUUGCAAACAUUUUUUAUUAGUCAAAUAAAAUUUAAGCUGAAAUCACUGCAAUGGAUCUAACCAAAAAACUUUGUAUAAUAAUAAAGAUCAUAGCUAAAUAUCCCAGAGGAAUAUGCUAUGAGGACAUCGCAGAAAUCUACCAAACGACUGUAAAUGAGCCAAUGAACAUUUCAUACGAUGAUUUCUAUACUCAAAUGUGGAAGGACGACCGUGUUUCUUGGAAACCUGGGUGUCACUGCGGCCGAUUCUUAUAUAUGAUCGACACUGAAGACAUAGAAGACGUAAUGGAAUAUCAAUUGAUGCGGUUAAAUUUAAAAUAGAUUUUUAUAGAAAGUAUUAAUUGUUAAAAAAAAAUAAUAAAAUUUGUAUAUUUUAAUGGAUAAAGGGUGAAUCUUUGGCAUCAAUUUCCAAGAAGACAAUGAAAUUUUGAGUAAAGAAGUCAUAAAAAUUUCUUCUCGUGAACGCUAUUAAAACAGUGAGAUGACAUCACCAAUAGAUCUCACACAUUUAGUUAAUAAAUUCAAAUGACUUGCAUAAAAUAUUCUCAUAUGUAGAUGUGAUGAGAACUUUUAACAUGAAGAAUUUGUAAAAUAUUCUGAUGUAUUGUAUUCUCAUAAUAUAUUGUGCUGCUAAUAAA